rnacentral:rRNA from 1 species
UACGGAAGGCAGCAGGGGGAAUAUUGCACAAUGGGCGCAAGCCUGAUGCAGCCAUGCCGCGUGUAUGAAGAAGGCCUUCGGGUUGUAAAGUACUUUCAGCGGGGAGGAAGGCGAUGUGGUUAAUAACCGCGUCGAUUGACGUUACCCGCAGAAGAAGCACCGGCUAACUCCGUGCCAGCAGCCGCGGUAAUACGGAGGGUGCAAGCGUUAAUCGGAAUUACUGGGCGUAAAGCGCACGCAGGCGGUCUGUUAAGUCAGAUGUGAAAUCCCCGGGCUUAACCUGGGAACUGCAUUUUGAAACUGGCAGGCUUGAGUCUCGUAGAGGGGGUAGAAUUCCAGGUGUAGCGGUGAAAUGCGUAGAGAUCUGGAGGAAUACCGGUGGCGAAGGCGGCCCCUGGACGAAGACUGACGCUCAGGUGCGAAAGCGUGGGGAGCAAACAGGAUUAGAUACC